rnacentral:rRNA from 1 species
GACAGAGGGUGCAAACGUUGUUCGGAAUUACUGGGCGUAAAGCGCGUGUAGGCAGCUCGGUAAGUCGGGUGUGAAAGCCCUGGGCUCAACCUAGGAAGUGCACUCGAAACUUCCGAGCUGGAGUGCUGGAGAGGAAGGCGGAAUUCUCGGUGUAGAGGUGAAAUUCGUAGAUAUCGAGAGGAACACCGGUGGCGAAGGCGGCCUUCUGGACAGUAACUGACGCUGAGACGCGAAAGCGUGGGGAGCAAACAGG